rnacentral:rRNA from 1 species
GACGAACGCUGGCGGCAGGCCUAACACAUGCAAGUCGAACGGAUCCUUCGGGAUUAGUGGCGGACGGGUGAGUAACGCGUGGGAACAUACCCUUUGGUACGGAAUAGCCUCGGGAAACUGGGAGUAAUACCGUAUGUGGUCGAGAGACGAAAGAUUUAUCGCCAAAGGAUUGGCCCGCGUUGGAUUAGGUAGUUGGUGGGGUAAUGGCCUACCAAGCCGACGAUCCAUAGCUGGUUUGAGAGGAUGAUCAGCCACACUGGGACUGAGACACGGCCCAGACUCCUACGGGAGGCAGCAGUGGGGAAUCUUAGACAAUGGGGGAAACCCUGAUCUAGCCAUGCCGCGUGAUCGAUGAAGGCCUUAGGGUUGUAAAGAUCUUUCAGGUGGGAAGAUAAUGACUGUACCACCAGAAGAAGCCCCGGCUAACUCCGUGCCAGCAGCCGCCGUAA